UGGAAGGAAUACAAAGGCUCUGGUGAAUCCAAUCCCUGCCAAGUAGUGCAUUGUAGGUGGUGGAAGUAGUGUCUAUAACAAAGAAUGCUAUUUUCAACUCUUUGCUUCCGACUAUGACAUCCACAUCUAAGAUGCCAUGUAUUUUGGUGAUGCCCCCAGCGAAGUUGGUGACGGUCAAUCGUCUUGGAAUCAGAUCUUUCUCCGUCCUGCCCAACUUGGUCAGCAUUCUGUGG
rnacentral:lncRNA from 1 species